GGCAUAGAUAGACAUUGAAAAGAAAAGCCGUCAGAUUUGACUUUUAUUAUUGAUAUAUUUUUAUGAUUGCAUGAAACAAAAA
rnacentral:ribozyme from 1 species